rnacentral:lncRNA from 1 species
AAAAGUUAGAAGUCAUUGUUUUAUUUUAUCUGGGUAUAAAUAGUAUAAUUUAUUUAACUUGUUGACUUGCCUGUCAUCCUCAGAUUUUGUUAAUCUUAUUGAAGCCUAUUUGUAUAGUUGGAAUUUAUUCUAAGUUUUAUUGGCUUCUUUGUAAUACAUGAGGAACCCCAAAUUUCCUAUUUAUGCCAUUGAGACAGUUGUUAUUUCUGGAUAUGGUGUUUAGGAUUGUAUUCAAACAGAACUCUUAUCAAAACAGGUCAAUAUGGUGUGUAUGAUCUGUGUAACAUAGGAGUCCUGAAGUUUGUGUUCUCUUUGAUGGUAAAUGUUCAUUUUCAAUUUAAAAGUUUAACCACAGUUAAGACCACGCUGCUAGCAAUGCAAUAUGAGACAGUGUCUUUCCAGAGGAGUAAUCCCUUAAAAACCAACCAAUCAAAUGCAGAGAUAUGCCCCAUCCAGCUUUGCUAAAUAGAAGCAAAUAGCUCACUUUAUUGUACAAAGACUCAAGAGGAAGACUUAGAAGCCCACCCCCUCCCCCAUUAAAGAGAAAGUACAGAAACAAAUUAGAAUCGAAAAAAUCAUGGCCUGAUUACUAAAUCAAAACGUUAAAUGUGACAGUUGUUUUUAGAAGCAUCUUACAUUUAUACAUUUUGAUGACUUUUGUAUUAAUGUUAGAAAAUUGAAAGAAGGCUUCACUGGAUGUCAGUCGUUACAGAAAUUGAAAUAUCCAAAAGUAUAUGUAUAACCAAUUGAGUAAUUUCCGCUUUCCUUACACACUUGAAAUAAAUUUUCUUUUGCUUUUACAAAUAGAUCUAUAUGUAAGAAAAUUUUCAUAUGAUUUUGCUUUUUUAUUAUUAAAAAAGGAAUAUAGUAAAGCCAAAGCUGAGCUGUAUUUGCCCCACACAACAUGACCAAAUAUAAAAAAAACCACUGCUCUUACAAAUAUCUUAUUUUACAAAGUUGUUUUUUAAAUUACAUUUUAUUGUAUAUUAUAAUAGUAAAUAAGUGUUCUAAGUGGCACUGCAUUUCAGAAAAUAUAGAAAGAAAUCCCAUAUCAAGGAAUCUUGGCUGAAUUUUGAAACGGAGUUGGGAACAGGUAAGAGUUCCUAUCUACUGAGUAAUUCUACAACAGGAAUUGUGUUUGAAAGAUGUAGAGUCUCUAACCUCUGAAACUAGGUUUGAGUCACACUGAGAAGAAUAAAUGAGAUACAAUUCAAAGUUUAACCCCCUAGAGAGAUAGAUGGCCCAGGAAGGAAAGAUCUUCCCGCCUUCCAGAAUAUCCUCCAUCAAGAACCAUUCCAAAUAAAUGAGCAGCCUAUUUUGUUCUCAAAGACAUGAACAAUGAGUGUCCUUAGGCUCUUUUGAAAUGUGUAGGAGAGUACUGUUUUACAAAUAACCAUAUCGUUACUAUUGCCAUUUUAUUAGGUUGGUGCAAAAGUAAUUACCAUUUUUUUUAAAAAAGGCAAAACCACAAUUACUUUUGCACCAAUAGCACAUUUGCCCUUGUUUGGUCUCUAAAGAUGGAGACCCUUUGGUUAGCAUCCUUUUUAUGAGUCAAGCUAAUAUACCCACAGCUCAACUUUUUGUUCUUGAGCUUGAAUCACAUCACUGGCAAUCGGCCGUAGUACUCUCUUACCUACAUCAUGGUUCUGCUGCUUGGACCCCAAAGACAAUGACAUGGAAAAACUCCAGCUUAAUUAUGUUCUUUUUUGUUUGUAUAUGUAAAUAGUUUUUAGGAAUGUAGAUUAUUAUUUUGAAAUCUGUGGUAACAAAUGUGAAAACCACUACAUUUUAUUUAUUUUCAUUGAAUAGCAAAUAAUGUUGAAGCCUGGGAUCUAAAAAGUUAAAUAUUAUUUUAUUUUGCUUAAUAAAGUAUUGGAUAAUUUAGAAAAAGAAUUUUUUUUUAAUGAUUGGAUAGUUACCUUAUUAAUGGAUUGGUCAGGGAGAAAAAGCCCUGUUGGAUGAAAACUGUCAUAUAUGUGACUUUUAAAGUGAAAUUAAUAAGCCAGGCAUGGUGAUGUUCCCCUGUAGGCCCAGCUACUUGGGAGGCUGAAGUGAAAGGAUCACUUGAGCCCAAGAGUUCAAGAACAGCUCGGACAACAUAGCAAGACCUGUUUCUCUAAAAACAAAAAACAGUAAAAAUCUUAAAAACCGCUUAAAGAUGGUUGGUUUCUUUUAAAAAGGAAAAAAAGGCUCAGGUGCAGUGGCUCACGCCUGUAAUCCCAACACUUUGGGAAGCUGCAGGCAGAUAGCUUGAGCUCAGGAGUUCGAGACCAGCCUGGGCAACAUGGUGAAACCCCAUCUUUACCAAAAAUGAAAAAAAAAAAAAAAAAUUAGCCUGGCAUGGUGGCGUGCACCUGUGGUCCCAGCUACAAUAGAGGCUGAGGUGGGAGGAUCCCUUGAGCCCGGGAGGUGGAGAUUGCAGUGAGUAGAGAUCACGCCUCGGCACUCCAGCCUGGGCAACAUAGCCAGAUACUGUCUCAUUAAAAAAAAAAAAAAAAAGGCCGGGCGCGGUGGCUCAUCACGUGCCUAUAAUCCCAGCUACUCGGGAGGCAGAGGCGGGAGACUUACUUGAACCCGGGAGGCAGAGGUUGCCAUGUGCCAAAAUCGCACCAUUGCACUCCAGCCUGGGCAACAAGAGUGAAACUCCAUCUCAAAAAAAAAAAAAAAAAAAUCACUUGCACACUUGUUUGGAAGUCUCUAGAAAUUUUGUGAAUCGGUUUCUUAAAUAUAUUUAUUAAAGACAGUUUUGAAGUAGCAAUGAGGGAAGUUUGUUUACCAUUCAUCAGGAAGAAAACCAGAGCUGUAAGCUCUUACUUUUAGUAUUAAAAUAUGGCUGUGAAGGAAAAAAAUAAAUGCCUUAAAGACAAAUAAUGGAAUGAGGAGCUAUAGAACAAAGUGACAUAAGGCAAUUUUGGUUGAAAAAUAGAAAUGCAAUUAAUUUAGAUUCCACUAAUUUGUUUUAAUCCAUCUAGAGUUGAGGUUUACCUCUAUGAAGAAAAGAAUACUAAAAUCUAUUAAGAUAUGAGGUAGAGAUCAGACUUUUUAAGAACUUUUAAUGUUUUUACCAUUUGCAAAUGGCAUUUAUAACUUUCGUAUACAUAGUAAAAUUAUGUAUACAAUAAUUAAAUCCUCUUAGAUUCUCUGCUUUGUAAUGGCAAUUAUUAUUUGUACCUCUAAGUAAUGAUCUAUUUGUAAAAAAUUUUCUACAGCGCCUCUUGAAUUAGAGAUCAAUUUAAUGCAUUCUGAGAAAUUAGUAAAUUUUUAACGUAUUUCUAGUUGAAAUAUUGGGUUCUUUCAGGCAAGUAUAUGUAUACCCUAAACUUUCUUUGGAAGUUCUGGAUCCUAGCAACUAUAAUAUAAAAACUUUGAAUUCAUUUGUACAUGACGAAAUGAGAUAGCCACGAUAGGUGUUAGAGGACUUUUACCCAGUGGAGGAACAUGUUUUACUCUGCUGCAUUGGUCUUUUUUUUUUUUUUUUCCUUUCUUUUUGAGACAGGGUCUCACUGCCACAAAAAAAAAAAAAAAAAAACAGAAACAUCUUUAGAUGCCUUGUCACACACCAAUAGCAAAGUGCACAGAGGGAGGAGAACACGAGAGUGCCUUUUCAUUUUGAAAAUGUUUGUGUGGGGUCGACGGCUGAGGAGAAGCUGGGAGCGAGCCCAGGCGGCAGUUUUUAGGUCCAUCAGCACUGCACUGCAG